rnacentral:miRNA from 1 species
GUGUUGGAAAGGUGAAUAUCAUGGAAUUCCAGGUUAUUAGAACAAAGUGUUCUUGUGUUGAGGGAGUACUUGAGUUGUGGCCCAACGUCCAUUUGCUACCUUGAUAAUUAACAUA